rnacentral:rRNA from 1 species
CCUGAGGUGACGAGCGGCGGACGGGUGAGUAAUGCCUAGGGAUCUGCCCAGUCGAGGGGGAUAACAGUUGGAAACGACUGCUAAUACCGCAUACGCCCUACGGGGGAAAGGAGGGGACCUUCGGGCCUUCCGCGAUUGGAUGAACCUAGGUGGGAUUAGCUAGUUGGUGAGGUAAUGGCUCACCAAGGCGACGAUCCCUAGCUGUUCUGAGAGGAUGAUCAGCCACACUGGGACUGAGACACGGCCCAGACUCCUACGGGAGGCAGCAGUGGGGAAUAUUGCACAAUGGGGGAAACCCUGAUGCAGCCAUGCCGCGUGUGUGAAGAAGGCCUUCGGGUUGUAAAGCACUUUCAGUAGGGAGGAAAGGUAGCGUGUUAAUAGCACGUUACUGUGACGUUACCUACAGAAGAAGGACCGGCUAACUCCGUGCCAGCAGCCGCGGUAAUACGGAGGGUCCGAGCGUUAAUCGGAAUUACUGGGCGUAAAGCGUGCGCAGGCGGUUUGUUAAGCCAGAUGUGAAAUCCCCGGGCUCAACCUGGGAAUUGCAUUUG